GUUGGCACGAAAGGCAGUGUUGCAAGAGAAAGAAGGAGGGUUUUAGAAAGAUUAUUUAUUAUUUCUUUUUCCACGUGGUUCUUGGAUUUUUAAGAUGCACCAUUUCUACAUCGGUCUGUGUCUGGUGGUUCUGGUGUGCGUGAGCGGGAACGCACACCCAGUUGACUAUGAGAGUGACGAGGCCUUCUUGAGUGAGAAGAUGAGGGAGUAUCUUAUGCUUAGAAAAUUACUUAUAAACGCGUUAAGUGAGAGAACUCCACUUAAAGAAUCCCCGAGAAAACGAAGUUGCUAUUUGAAUGGCUUACUGUCCCACGGGUGUGACUAUCAGGACCUCGUUAGUUCAACAGUCGAGAAAAACUACUGGGAUAGUCUUAACAGUCCUGGCAAGAGAAGGAGGAGAAGGAGAGGCACAAGAAGAAGAGAUUUAAGGCAGUCACUCCUCCUCCUCCUCCUCUUCCUCUUCUUCUUCUUCUCCUUCUUUCUUUCUUUCUUCUUCUUAUUCUGGUUCUUCUAAAUGCAGCUUUUGUUGCUGGUGGUGGUGGAAGCGUCUCUGCAUGAAUCUAGGAGACCCAAGCUGUUAUGAAUCCAAUAUGGCGGCCAAAGGAGACGAUGCCAAGUUCUUAAUCGGAUCCAACAACCCGGGCAAGUGAGGAAGAGGAGGAGGAAGCAAGAAUUUCAUGAGGUCUUCGUAAAUUAUUAUUAUUAUUAUUACUCUGAUUAUUAUGAUUAUUUAUUGAUGGCUGGGAAUAAUAAUAAUAAUAAUAAUAAUAACAAUAAUAAUAAUAACAAUAAUAAUAAUAAUAAAGAUAUAAUCUGGAUUUGAAGGCUAAAUAAAAGAAUUGAUUAUCGAAAUGUGCAA